UACGGAGGGUGCAAGCGUUAUCCGGAUUUACUGGGUUUAAAGGGUGCGUAGGUGGGCAGGUAGGUCAGUGGUGAAAUCUCCGGGCUUAACUCGGAAACUGCCAUUGAUACUAUCUGUCUUGAAUACCGUGGAGGUCAGCGGAAUAUGUCAUGUAGCGGUGAAAUGCUUAGAUAUGACAUAGAACACCAAUUGCGAAGGCAGCUGGCUACACGAAUAUUGACACUGAUGCACGAAAGCGUGGGGAUCAAACAGG
rnacentral:rRNA from 1 species